rnacentral:rRNA from 1 species
CUACGGGAGGCUCCAGUGGGGAAUAUUGCACAAUGGGCGCAAGCCUGAUGCAGCCAUGCCGCGUGUAUGAAGAAGGCCUUCGGGUUGUAAAGUACUUUCAGCGGGGAGGAAGGGAGUAAAGUUAAUACCUUUGCUCAUUGACGUUACCCGCAGAAGAAGCACCGGCGAACUCCGUGCCAGCAGCCGCGGUAAUACGGAGGGUGCAAGCGUUAAUCGGAAUUACUGGGCGUAAAGCGCACGCAGGCGGUUUGUUAAGUCAGAUGUGAAACCCCCGGGCUCAACCUGGGAACUGCAUCUGAUACUGGCAAGCUUGAGUCUCGUAGAGGGGGGUAGAAUUCCAGGUGUAGCGGUGAAAUGCGUAGAGAUCUGGAGGAAUACCGGUGGCGAAGGCGGCCCCCUGGACGAAGACUGACGCUCAGGUGCGAAAGCGUGGGGAGCAAACAGGAUUAGAUACCCCCGUAGUC